rnacentral:rRNA from 1 species
CCUAACGGGAGGCAGCAGUGGGGAAUAUUGGGCAAUGGGCGCAAGCCUGACCCAGCAACGCCGCGUGAAGGAAGAAGGCUUUCGGGUUGUAAACUUCUUUUGUCAGGGACGAAGCAAGUGACGGUACCUGACGAAUAAGCCACGGCUAACUACGUGCCAGCAGCCGCGGUAAUACGUAGGUGGCAAGCGUUAUCCGGAUUUAUUGGGUGUAAAGGGCGUGUAGGCGGGGAAGCAAGUCAGAUGUGAAAACCACGGGCUCAACCUGUGGCCUGCAUUUGAAACUGUUUUUCUUGAGUACUGGAGAGGCAGACGGAAUUCCUAGUGUAGCGGUGAAAUGCGUAGAUAUUAGGAGGAACACCAGUGGCGAAGGCGGUCUGCUGGACAGCAACUGACGCUGAGGCGCGAAAGCGUGGGGAGCAAACAGGAUUAGAUACCCGUGUAGUC